rnacentral:rRNA from 1 species
AUGGAGAAGGCGCUCGACAGGCAGAGGAUCCUGCUGCGGCACCUGGAGCCCGCGGCCGGCGCCAGCCCGACCGCCUCCGCCAUCUCCGCCAGCGCGUGCGCCGCGGGGGACAGCGCCGCGUACCACCGGGGCCCCUGCUUCGCCGACGACGUCGUCAUCGUCGCUGCCUAUAGGACAGCAAUCUGCAAGGCCAAGAGAGGUAGUUUCAAGGAUACACUCCCUGAGGACCUCUUGGUACCGGUAUUCAAGGCUUUGGUGGAUAAAACAAAGCUAAAUCCGAGCGAAGUUGGCGACAUUGUUGUUGGUACUGUUUUAGCUCCUGGGUCCCAAAGGGCAAUAGAAUGCAGGAUGGCCGCAUUGUAUGCGGGUUUCCCUGACACGGUUCCUCUGAAGACUGUAAACCGACAGUGCUCUUCUGGGCUUCAGGCAGUCGCAGAUGUUGCUGCUGCUAUUAAAGCAGGGAUGUAUGAUAUUGGUAUUGCUGCUGGCGUAGAGUCAAUGACAGUGAACAAAGUUAAUCUUGUCGAGAAAGCGAAUCCCAAAGUUGAGCUAUUUGCUCAAGCACGCGAUUGCCUUCUCCCAAUGGGCCUUACCUCCGAGAAUGUUGCACAGCGGUUUGGCAUAACACGCAUGGAGCAAGAUCAAGCUGCUGUUGAGUCUCACAGGAAGGCAGCGGCGGCAGUUGCUGCUGGUAAAUUUAAAGAAGAAAUUGUUCCAGUUCAUACAAAGAUCAUGGAUCCAAAAACUGGUGAAGAAAAGGAGAUUGUGGUCUCAGCAGAUGAUGGAAUCCGGUCGAAUACCACACUGGCAGUCCUGUCAAAACUUAAACCAGCAUUUUCCAAGGACGGGACAACUACUGCUGGAAAUGCUAGCCAAGUAAGUGAUGGAGCUGGAGCUGUCCUACUAAUGAGGCGAGAUGUUGCUACACAGAAGGGUCUUCCAAUUCUUGGAAUCUACAGGAGCUUUGCUGCAGUUGGAGUUGAUCCAGCUGUGAUGGGUGUUGGUCCUGCUGUUGCUAUCCCAGCAGCAGUGAAGGCCGCGGGCCUUCAAAUUAAUGAUAUUGACCUUUUCGAGAUUAAUGAGGCUUUUGCAUCUCAGUAUGUGUACUGCUCAAAAAAGUUGGAUCUCGAUCCCGCAAAAGUCAAUGUUAAUGGAGGUGCAAUUGCUCUUGGACAUCCAUUGGGUGCCACAGGUGCGCGCUGUGUCAGCACUCUUCUCAACGAGAUGAAGCGCCGAGGCAAGGACUGCCGGUUUGGAGUGAUUUCUAUGUGCAUAGGUUCCGGGAUGGGUGCGGCCGCCGUUUUCGAGCGUGGAGAUGCGGUGGAUGAGCUGACGAAUGCCCGAGGGGGGCCCUCGCUUAACUGGCUCUCCAAAGACACCGUGUAA